GACGAACGCUGGCGGCGUGCUUAACACAUGCAAGUCGAACGGAAAGGCCCUGCUUGCAGGGUACUCGAGAGGCGAACGGGUGAGUAACACGUGGGUGAUCUGCCCUGCACUUCGGGAUAAGCCUGGGAAACUGGGUCUAAUACCGGAUAUGACCUUCCAUGUAGUGUGGGGGGUGGAAAGAUUUAUCGGUGUGGGAUGAGCCCGCGGCCUAUCAGCUUGUUGGUGGGGUAAUGGCCUACCAAGGCGUCGACGGGUAGCCGGCCUGAGAGGGUGGACGGCCACAUUGGGACUGAGAUACGGCCCAGACUCCUACGGGAGGCAGCAGUGGGGAAUAUUGCACAAUGGGCGGAAGCCUUAUGCAGCGACGCCGCGUGGGGGAUGACGGCCUUCGGGUUGUAAACCUCUUUCGACAGGGACGAAGCUUCGGUGACGGUACCUGUAUAAGAAGCACCGGCUAACUACGUG
rnacentral:rRNA from 1 species